UAAAAAGAUGUAUUAAUGUCUAUUCAUCUAUUAAUGAGAAGAGAGCAAGCCUUCGGAAACUUUUUUAUAUAAAUUAAAAUAAUUAAAAAUUAAAUUUAUGAAAUAAAAAUUUGAAAAAAUUGUUUCUACAUAAAAAUUUUUAAUCGUCAGAUGUCAGCUAUUUUCGGUGUCACGAAAUACAAAUCUGUAAAAAUAAGUGAUUAAAAAAGAAAUGAGUUACUUAGAGGUUGCUAUAUAAAAUUUAAUUAAUAAUUAAUCAUAAUAAAUAUGUUAAACUAAGUGCUUGUUUUGAUGACGUUGCAUCUUUCUUGAGUGAAAUCUUGAAUAAUAUUAUAAUAGUAAAAAUUACAGGUUAUGAAUGAAAAUUAAAAAUUUUCAUUAAUUAUAUGUUGUUGUAAACUUCUAUAAAUUCUUAUUUACUAGAUUCCAUUCUACCUUCAAAAACCUCUACUUCGUUGAUUAUCGAGUGUAUGAUUAAAUAGGAACAGGAAUUAUAAAUAUUGUUAUUAGCACUAUCAUUGAUAAAUAAAUAUUUAUCUUCAAAAAAAAAUUAUUUUUCACUUUAUUGAAUUAUUAUUUUGUGUCUGAUUGAAAAAACGUAUUGCUAUAUAAAUAUCUUCAAUAUAGGGAAUAUGAAUAUUUAUUUUACAUACAUUUGAUUUUUGGAACAUUGUUAUUAUUUAUUGAGAUGAUUAAAUUUAUUAUUUUUAAUGUACAUGAAUGAUUUUCACACAUAAUUCUA